CAUCAAGAUUGACAUACAAUAUAAAGGAAAUAUGUAGCCUCCUGCUGCUAUCUGGAGCACUUACCCCUCCCUAAUGACAAAAACUUCGUCUUUGCAUUUCAAAAUUUACGUUUGAAUAUUGGAAUCCUUGAAACUAAAUAAUGGAUUAGCUUCUAUUCUCAAUUUCCCUAACACCAGUGCCCCAGACAAACAAAAACUUCCCAUAUAUAUAAUUUCAGGAGAAGAUAGCUCUCCCCAACAUUCUAGCUCCGGCCAAAACCCACAUGAUGGCACAUAAUGCUCCAAGAAUAGAUAAGAAAAGAAUACCCCUACUAGUUCCAACUUUAGUUGAAUUUGCAGUUUGAUUACUACCAACAAGAUUAUCAGUAUUGAUAUUGUUAUUUUUGAUAUUCAGUCUGAUCCUGCUGAAGCUAGACAUUCGCUCAAAAGCCUUAUUCACCAAAGGAGUCUCGGCAGCUGAUGCAGGAGUAGUAGGUAUUGACUCCAAAAAUUCCCACAAAGCAGAGGAGAACCAACCAGUAGCACCACCAUCCUCUCCACCACUUUGAUUCUCAUUAGCUCCAGUAGGAGCAUUGGAAGAUUCAUAUGCGACACCUGAACGUGACCAAAAUGGCCAAAGAUUUAGACUACAUUAAUUCUAAUAGUCGAUUUCAAUAUAAUACAAAGGAAAUACUUGUACUAGAAGAGCUCUUGAAUUUGGCUCAAAGUCCCACUUCACGUAGGCUUUAUGCCUUGAGGAACAUCCAGAUCAAGAGCUCUGAAUGGAAGGGCUACCAUGACAGCAACUUCGUCCAAAACAGAGACAACUCAGUGAAAUAGUACACCAAGUGAAAAAUAAGAACAAAGUUGACGCUGAAAUUCUGACUAAUUUAUACCUGGAGUUGGUUGAGAAAGAGUCCCAUGAAUUGUUUCUGAAGUAGCAUGGGCAUUGCUUCUCUGAUCAUCCACCCAUAGCUGAGCUGCACCAAAUGCUUGUGGCUGCAAGUAAUCCACAUCAUUUACUGCUGAAUGUGGCUGCAAUUGGUAGUCCACCUGAUUUGCCAUUGAAUGGAACUGCAACGGGUAACCAACUCCGUUUACAUGUGAAACUGUGUCUUGAGCAACAGGCCCAAUUUCACUCAAAAACAGGUCAGCAUCAUGGUACAGAUCAAGCUCGCUAAGUCCAAAAUUGUCAAACCCCAAGUUCUCUGCAGCCUUCUCAGUGUUCAAGGAAGUAGGUUCUGGACCAAUGAGAUCAUCCAUUUCCAGGAAAUCAUCUUCACAAAGUUGCAGUGCCCCAGCAGAGCUAUGCGGACCAGAUGCGACUUUGGGUACCUCAAGUGACUGAAAUGCAGCGGUAGCUGACCCGUUGACGUCCAAGCUUUCCUGCUGGACACUUGUAGGCGAAAGAGAGAUUGGCUCAGGAAAGAUAACUUCUCUCAAGGAUGGAUCUACCAAUGUACUUUGGGUCUCAUCUUCACCAGCAACCUGUACUAGCCCACUAGUAUAAUCAUAAUCACUGAUUUGGGCCUGGUAAAGUGGAUGUUCAUCAGCAAUUUGUUUCAUGAAGUCCUCAAGAUCAAAAUCAUUUAAUGGUUGCUCCAUCUGAGCAACAGUCUUUAUGGUAUCAACAGAUGGAAUGACCGCAUUAGGCUGCUUAACAGGAGUAUCAGAGUUAUUCACAACAGCAUAAUCAUCGUCAGCCCAGUCUUCUUCCUUAAAUGGUGCUCCAUACUGCUCACCAUUCUUUGGACCAGGUCCACUUUUCUUGUAAACCUUGUAGAGUGCAUAAUAAUCCUGGACAUUUUGGCAUCUUUUGAGUUCCUCUUCAUCCAAAGUGUAUUCAUGCAUCACCCAGUCAGUUCUCUCACCAUUAGGAGCCCGGCCUCCAUAAAAAACUAGGGUCUUCUUCACUCCAACAUUCCUAGAGUUGCAAGAGAUGUUUCGGUCCUUACCUGUAGCUUUCCAAUACCCUUGUCUAGUUGCCCUAUUUGACCUUGCUCCAUUAGGAUACUUCCUAUCCCUUGGACUGAAGAAGAACCAUUGCCUAUCUCCUGUCUUCAAUAUGGAUUGUCCAGGUAAUUCCUCGGGAUCCCACUUGUAGACAUCAACCUCACGGAUGACAUCGAGCCGUAGCCGUCUCCUACAGAUUUUCCUCUUCAAGUAAUAAAGAACAAGCUCCUCAUCCGUUGGGUGGAAUCUAAACCCUGGUGGCCACACCUUAUCAUCCCCUUCAUCAGGACCCAAACAGGAAGCCGCCGUCGCCGUCACCGUCAUCGAUUAUAACUCACUAGUGUCCGAGUUAAACAAAACGAAAUAUUAAAGAACGGGAAAAGAAAACCAAGAGAAAAACAGAGAGACCCAAUUCGUUUUUCGAUCAAGAAAUGAUAUAAUUACAUGAUUCGAUUUGAUUUUGUGGGGUUUUGAGCGAGACUGAAAUGAUAAGAGAGGAAAAAAAAAAAAAGAGGAAACAAUUUUUUCUUUUGUUUCCUUUUUUACGGUGGAUUGUUGAUCAAGCAAGAAACACAGAAGACAAAUAAAAUAAAGGAGAGUCUGUGACGGGCUUUGGCCUAUGGUGAUAAUAGUCAGACUCUUACAAGGCAGCUGAUGGGCGGAUAGCGAAGGUUCUCAGAAGUAUGUGGUUUUC
rnacentral:misc_RNA from 1 species